GGCUCGGUAGCUGAGGGUCUGCAGCUGCCUUCCAUGACCUCCUCUUGGAUGCAAUGCAGACAAUGCCUGUUCGACUCAGGCCCGAGCCA